rnacentral:lncRNA from 1 species
CUCAAGACCCGUCCAGGGUAUAUCCUGACUUUCACUCAACAUCAGCUGGGAUGGCUCUGGCCCCUGGAGCAGUCCUCAAAGGUAAGGACUACAGACGAUGGGUGGAUAGGUGGUGGGAAAGCCAGAAAAUUUGCAACUUUUAGUACAAGCUAAAAGUCAAGUAGACAGGAUUUUUGGGUUAUUUCAUGAUCUGCUGUUUCCAGUAAAAAAAAGAUAUGAAAUGUUGUCACUUUAGUGCACAAGUCCCCAGAGUUCCAGUAUCCAGAAAUGACUGUCCUGACCACUGAUAGAGGAGAUACUCUGACUUUUGUAAUCCUCUCCAUCUGUUAUUUGAUCAUUGCUCGAAGAGGCAAGGGUGUAGUGCAUGAGUGUGAUAGUAUAUCUCCAGAUUAUUUGGUGUCUGCUCAGCUAAUCACGGGAGUGGUGACCAGAGUGAGCAUCCACAGCAACUAAAGAGUGAUGGAUGAAAGGGUGAUAUAAUCUUGCAUCAAUUAUUAAUGCGCUGCCUGGAAAUAAAUCACUAGUGAGGUUGUGCGUUUGCCUGUAUGAGUGUGUGAGCUCCUGUAUCUGUGCUAUUGAGAAAGCUCUCUUCAUGAAUAAUGAACAUUCAAUUCUCACCUCAACCAGGGAUUUCACACCACUGAAACUCUGCAGAGGAAAAUAAGCAUGUGCCAGAGAGGUAGAGAAGUAAAAAUGAGAGUACAUGUGUUUAUAUGUGUGUUGGAAAGACUGCAUGCAUGUAACAGCGGAAAAGAUCAGAAAAAAGGUCCACUUGGUUUGAGAAUUAUGAAUUAAUAUAUGUAUGCGCAUGUUUGUGUGCGUCACUUAAAUUACUUCUUUAUUCAGCAAGCAGGCGAGAAGCUGGCUGAGCUGUUGCCUUAAUUAUCAGUUAUGUGCUUGUAUGUGCGUCAGAAUGAAAGAUUGCAUAAAUAAGAGGCAGCCUCUCCUCAUUCAAACGUGCUCUCCUGCCUGAAAUCUUCUUUUUUCAAGUAUUCUCUAACUAUUUCAUUCUGUAGUCUUCAGUCUGUUAAAGGCUUCCUAAUCCCUCUAUUACCUAACACCUGACUGGAUUAAGAGCUUGAUCCUGAUUGGUUAAAUCCCCUAAACAGAGGGGAUAAAUCCGCCAAAACAAGUAUGAUGCAAGGGACCUUACCACACCUGUCUUAUUAAACAAAAACACAGGAGGGGACCAGCGCAUCUCACCUCUGCCUGUUGACACUGGAAAAACGUUAGUUUCCAUCAGUGUUAAAUUGGAAACACUGCAGUCAUCAGAAUGAGGGGUAACUGUAAACACGUGAAAGCAGCCUGAAGAGCUACUGGACGGCAACCAUCUCUGAUAGGAAAAUGUAAAAGAUCACAAUGUCCUGUAAUUCACACAAUGAUAGCAUAGCUGGAGUGAGCACAUCUAACCUCUUAAUCCCAUCAGAUCUGUGUUCAGUCCACAAUUUUGGUUUGUUUUAACUGGCUCUGCUGUGUCAGAGUUAACUUCUAUUUUGCAUGGCUGGUUAUUUUGGAAAUCAUUAAAACAUCUGGGUAAUUUUGAAAAUUGAGCACCUUUAGUUGAGGAUGUUAAGGUCACGACAGUGGUGAAUCAAACAGGCAGACAUACUGUUGCAAGGUGGCUAAAGGCCUGUCUCUGGUAGGUUGACUGGAAGCUGGGUUGAGUCACCAUUUGAAAUAUGGGGAAUAAAGUAGCUCCAUAACUAGUUUGUUAUAAGAAAAAAGGCCACUAACACAAUGAAAUGGUGGUGAUACUUCCAACAGUUCCAGUUUCUCAAAGUAAAAAACAGCUGCUUCCUUUUAUCUAAAAUAUAUACUAGUUUAAUCAACCUUUUUGGUUUUGAAUGUCUCACAGAAACUAUUAUACAAUGUCAUCUCAAAUACCUGAAAAUAGCUGAAAAAUACCAAAAAUGGGAACACUCCUUAGAUGCCGACUUUAUGCACAUAAAUAAAGCUUAGCAUACAGAGACAAGGAAUAGUUUUCCUGCUUACUCACUUUUCUCUUUCUCUCAGUUUUGAAGUCAAGCUAACUGAGGUGGAGCAAGCUCCCACCACGACCUUUGUGAGUCAAUUGUUGUCUCAUUUCCACACCUUCCCCUCCAGUUUUCAUCAGAUCCAGAACUUCUCAGGGACUCUCCUGCUGAAAGAAAUGCAGUGAGGAACUUUACCUGGCAAUAAUUGUGAACCACUUUGAAGAAAAGUUUUGGAAGUUUCCUAAAGCUUCCUUGAGCAUUCUGGACUCUCGCCAUACUUGGCUGUAUUGUAGCUGCUGUGUGGUGGUGUGGAGCAG